CAAAAGUUCCAAAAAGCUAUUUUUAGCAUAAAGGUCACAGUCAUGGUCACAAGGUCAUUGACCUUGGUGUCAGUUGAAAGUGCCUAAUUAGUGGAGUAUGCAUACCAAAUAUGAAGUCUCUAUCUCUCACGGUUCAGAAGUUAUGGCGAAAGUUCGAAAAAGCUAUUUUUAGCAUAAAGGUCACAAUCAAGGUCAUAAGGUCAUUGACCUUGGUGUCAGUUGAAAGUGUUUUUGUAGUGGAGUAUCCAUACCAAAUAUGAAGUCUCUAAGUCUCACGGUUCAAAAGUUAUGGCGAAGGUUAAAGUUGACAACAGACAAACAAACAGACAGACAUACAGCUAAACAGACAGACAGGACAAAAACAAUAUGCGCCCCCCAAAAAAUUGGGUGCAUAAAAACUGUCUUGGAGUUAACAGCAGUUCUCUGUUUCUCUUGAAUGUUAUGUACAAUUUGAUCGGGAUCGGAAGAAUGUUUCAAAAAGUCGGGCUCAGUGAUCAAUUAAUUUAAACAACAGACCGCCAAAAUUUAACCUUGGCCUCCAUGUUGCAACGUCUGCUCUGUCUAAAGGAAGAAGUUUGUUGACCAGACAGCCUGAGAUCGUAUUGCUGUACCAACCAAAAGAUGCAGAUACACGUAUUUCAUAUGCGGUAGGUCAGUCAUAUUUUUUUUAACAUGUGUGUCACUGUGAUGAUGAAAAUAAAUACUCUAGGCCUAGGACUGAGCUACCAGGCUAUGUACGUUUCAGCCAAUAUGCCCAUGAUUCAAAUCUUUCAAUCAGCUCAUAGAAUUUUAUUAUGGUUAACCACAAUUAAAGGUGUUAAUUUUGGGGAGCCAUGGGCUGUAAUCUCUAGCAAUGAUUUACCAUACAUUUUUUUUUGGUAGCGUCUGUGCAUGAGGAGGAGAUUUCUGAAAAAGAAUAAGUGCUUAUUCAACUUACUGCGAUUUUAACGGGCUUAAAGCUUGGUCCAUGGAUGGUUAUGUUUGAGGAUUUGACAAUUCGACCGCAAGUGCUGCUGCAAGAAAUUAAACAUGCAGAGACCUUACAAAUUACAAAGAAGUCUGAAGAAAAUUUUUAUUGGACAGAUGGGUGUAAAGCACAGACCUGAGAUAUAAAUUGAAUUGUGAGAAAUAUGAAUCAGGGAUGCAGGUAGAAAAUGGCAAAUGUGAUCCAGAUUGAUAAAAAAUGUCUAAAAUUUUUUCUUGUUUUGUAAAUAUUCAAUGCUAUGUCAAUUGUUAUUUUUUCCCCAAUACCUAAUAGUGUUGAACAUUUCACUCCCACUUUUGCUUAAAUAGAAUGAAUAAAUUUCCAUUUAUUUAAUAUGAAUAUUAAAAAAUGCCACAUUUUUUCCAUGAUGAACUUGUGGCUUAAAUAAGAGUUCCAGUUUUUUUUCCAUACAUGCUCCUAUUUGUUUGUCAAAGAUAUAAGAUCCAAUACAUUGCUCAUGAACAUAAUGUGUAAUUUUGUUCAUUCAUUUAUAUGUUUUUUUCUCAUAAUGAUAUAAUAAAUUGUAUAUAAUUUU